AGCGUCUUCGGGGCGUAAGUAAGUGGCGCAGGGUGAGUACACGUGGGUAUCUACUUUUUGGUGGGGGACUACCGCUCUAACGGGCGGCUAAUACCGCGACAGUCCCCGCAGACCUCGGUUUGCGGGGGGAAAGAUGGCCUCUCCAUGGAAGCUAUCGCCGAAAGAGGAGCCGCGGGCCAUCAGCUUGUUGGUAAGGUAACGGCUUACCAAGGCUAUGACGGGUAGCUGGUCUGAGAGGAUGAUCAGCCACACUGGGACUGAGACACGGCCCAGACUCCUACGGGAGGCAGCAGUGGGGAAUAUUGGACAAUGGGCGAAAGCCUGAUCCAGCCACGCCGCGUGUGUGAUGAAGGCCUUCGGGUCGUAAAGCACUGUGGGGAGGAAAGAAACACGGACGGAAUAAUACCCGGACGGAUUGACGGUACCUCCUUAGCAAGCACCGGCUAACUCCGUGCCAGCAGCCGCGGUAAUACGGAGGGUGCAAACGUUGCUCGGAAUCAUUGGGCGUAAAGGGCGCGUAGGCGGCUGGGAAAGUCAGAUGUGAAAGCCCUUGGCUUAACUGAGGAAUUGCAUCUGAAAC
rnacentral:rRNA from 1 species